rnacentral:piRNA from 1 species
UGGACCACCAUUUGUUCCUAGUGUCUGAA